rnacentral:rRNA from 1 species
UACGUAGGGUGCGAGCGUUAAUCGGAAUUACUGGGCGUAAAGCGUGCGCAGGCGGCGCGUUAAGACAGGUGUGAAAGCCCCGAGCUUAACUUGGGAAUUGCGCUUGUGACUGGCGUGCUGGAGUGUGGCAGAGGGAGGUGGAAUUCCACGUGUAGCAGUGAAAUGCGUAGAGAUGUGGAGGAACACCGAUGGCGAAGGCAGCCUCCUGGGCCAGCACUGACACUCAUGCACGAAAGCGUGGGGAGCAAACAGG